AGCCAUGCCGCGUGUGUGAAGAAGGCCCUCGGGUUGUAAAGCACUUUCAGCGAGGAAGAACGCCUAGUGGUUAAUACCCAUUAGGAAAGACAUCACUCGCAGAAGAAGCACCGGCUAACUCCGUGCCAGCAGCCGCGGUAAUACGGAGGGUGCAAGCGUUAAUCGGAAUUACUGGGCGUAAAGCGCGCGUAGGUGGCUUGAUAAGCCGGUUGUGAAAGCCCCGGGCUCAACCUGGGAACGGCAUCCGGAACUGUCAAGCUAGAGUGCAGGAGAGGAAGGUAGAAUUCCCGGUGUAGCGGUGAAAUGCGUAGAGAUCGGGAGGAAUACCAGUGGCGAAGGCGGCCUUCUGGACUGACACUGACACUGAGGUGCGAAAGCGUGGGUAGCAAACAGGAUUAGAUACCCUGGUAGUCCACGCCGUAAACGAUGUCGACCAGCCGUUGGGUGCCUAGCGCACUUUGUGGCGAAGUUAACGCGAUAAGUCGACCGCCUGGGGAGUACGGCCGCAAGGUUAAAACUCAAAUGAAUUGACGGGGGCCCGCACAAGCGGUGGAGCAUGUGGUUUAAUUCGAUGCAACGCGAAGAACCUUACCUACUCUUGACAUCCUGCGAACUUGUGAGAGAUCACUUGGUGCCUUCGGGAACGCAGAGACAGGUGCUGCAUGGCUGUCGUCAGCUCGUGUUGUGAAAUGUUGGGUUAAGUCCCGUAACGAGCGCAACCCUUGUCCUUAUUUGCCAGCGCGUAAUGGCGGGAACUCUAAGGAGACUGCCGGUGACAAACCGG
rnacentral:rRNA from 1 species